rnacentral:rRNA from 1 species
GAUGAACGCUGGCGGCGUGCCUAAUACAUGCAAGUCGAGCGAACAGACGAGGAGCUUGCUCCUCUGACGUUAGCGGCGGACGGGUGAGUAACACGUGGAUAACCUACCUAUAAGACUGGGAUAACUUCGGGAAACCGGAGCUAAUACCGGAUAAUAUAUUGAACCGCAUGGUUCAAUAGUGAAAGACGGUUUUGCUGUCACUUAUAGAUGGAUCCGCGCCGCAUUAGCUAGUUGGUAAGGUAACGGCUUACCAAGGCAACGAUGCGUAGCCGACCUGAGAGGGUGAUCGGCCACACUGGAACUGAGACUCGGUCCAGACUCCUACGGGAGGCAGCAGUAGGGAAUCUUCCGCAAAGGGCGAAAGCCUGACGGAGCAACGCCGCGUGAGUGAUGAAGGUCUUCGGAUCGCAAAACUCUGUUAUUAGGGAAGAACAAAUGUGUAAGUAACUAUGCACGUCUUGACGGUACCUAAUCAGAAAGCCACGGCUAACUACGUG